ACUCCUCGGGAGGCAGCAGUAGGGAAUCUUCCACAAUGGGCGCAAGCCUGAUGGAGCAACACCGCGUGAGUGAAGAAGGGUUUCGGCUCGUAAAGCUCUGUUGUUAAAGAAGAACACGUAUGAGAGUAACUGUUCAUACGUUGACGGUAUUUAACCAGAAAGUCACGGCUAACUACGUGCCAGCAGCCGCGGUAAUACGUAGGUGGCAAGCGUUAUCCGGAUUUAUUGGGCGUAAAGAGAGUGCAGGCGGUUUUCUAAGUCUGAUGUGAAAGCCUUCGGCUUAACCGGAGAAGUGCAUCGGAAACUGGAUAACUUGAGUGCAGAAGAGGGUAGUGGAACUCCAUGUGUAGCGGUGGAAUGCGUAGAUAUAUGGAAGAACACCAGUGGCGAAGGCGGCUACCUGGUCUGCAACUGACGCUGAGACUCGAAAGCAUGGGUAGCGAACAGGAUUAGAUACCCUGGUAGGAUAGCG
rnacentral:rRNA from 1 species